CUUCUUGAAUUUAUUUAGAAGUCGGGCCUGUCCACUGAGAUAUUAUUGAAGGGCCGCGGUAUUUUGACCGUGCAAAGGUAGCAUAAUCAUUAGUUUUUUAAUUAAGAACUGGAAUGAAUGGUUUGACGAAAUAAUUAUUGUCUCUAAUAUAAUUAAUUGAAUUUUACUUUUAAGUUAAAAGGCUUAAAUAUUAAUAAGGGACGAUAAGACCCUAUAGAUCUUUAUAAUGAUUUUAUUAUUACUGUUUUGGUUGAAUAUAAUAAUAUGUUUUAAUGAUUUUAUUAUUUGGUUGGGGUGAUGUGAGAAUAAAUAACUUCUUAAUUUUUAACUUAAAUAUAUGAAUAUAGAAUCCUGUAUGUAUGGAAAAUAGAUUAAGAUACCUUAGGGAUAACAGCGUAAUUUUAUUGGAAAGUUCUUAUUGAUAAUGGAGAUUGCGACCUCGAUGUUGGAUUAAGAAUAUAUGUUGGUGUAGGUGCUAAUGUUAUUGGUCUGUUC
rnacentral:rRNA from 1 species